UACAGAGGGUGCGAGCGUUAAUCGGAAUUACUGGGCGUAAAGGGCGCGUAGGUGGUUAUGUAAGAUUGAUGUGAAAUCCCUGGGCUUAACCUAGGAACUGCAUCGAUGACUGCAUAGCUGGAGUGUGGCAGAGGAGACUGGAAUUCCUGGUGUAGCAGUGAAAUGCGUAGAUAUCAGGAGGAAUACCGAUGGCGAAGGCAGGUCUCUGGGCUGACACUGACGCUCAUGCACGAAAGCGUGGGGAGCAAACAGG
rnacentral:rRNA from 1 species